CGUCUAACUCUAAAAAAAAAAUGAUGGUGGAGAGUGCCAGGGAAUGUUCUGAGGUCACUUUGUAUCCUUAGCUGGGUGUUCUGUGUCUUUGCCAAUAACUUACCUCUGAAGGCAGUUUGUAUCCUCAGCUGGGUGGUCUGUGUCUUUGCCAAUAAUUUACCUCACUCCCCUCCCCUGGUCAUUUUUUUAGCUUAUUUAUUUUAAGUAAUCUCUACAUCCAACAUGGGGCCUGAACCCACAAUCAAGAGUCACACACUCUUCCAAUGAGCCAGCCAGAUGCUCAUCCCCUGGUCAUUUUUUUAACCUAAAGAUUAUAGACUUCAACAAACCAAUUCAUUAACAAGGGAUAACUACAUUGAGCUCUAAUGAUGAGACACAGGGGGAGAAAACUUCCAGGAGCACUAUUCAGGAAGAUUAAACCAGUCUUCUACAGUGAGGAACAGAGGAAGUGGAGAUAUUCCCUUCCAAGAUACUUGGGAAAUAUCUGUAAUUUCUCUCAUUUAUUUCAUCUUGUGGUUCACAUAGAUGUUGAAGUGAAUGGAUCCAGAUUCAGAAAUUUCAUGAGGAGAAAAAUGGAAGUGUGAGAUUUGGCUCCCUCACUGCACUGGUUCUCCUCUGAAUUAUAGCAAGUUUUCCUUUCAGUCAGUCAAAAAAUAUUUAUUGAGCACCUACUAUGUGUCAGACACCGAGGUAGGCUCUGGGCCUAGGAUGGUGAACCAAAUGAAGGCCCCACCCUCAUGGGGUUCACAUUGUAACGUGGAAGGCAGACAAGGAACAAUGACAUUUAUGAUGUCAGGUUGUGGUAAAUGCUGAACAAAACUAGAGCAGGAUGAGAGGAGAGAGAGUGAUGGGGGUAGGGUGGUGGGUGGAUGACACUGUGCCGAGAUGAGAACAAGGUGAAGAAGGCUGUGCACAUACCUGGAGGAAGGGUGUCUCAGACAGAGAACUCAGAAUAUUGCAGCAGGAAAAAGACUGCUAUCCAGAGAACAGAGCAAACAGCUGAUGGGAAGGGUGGAAGUCCUUCUCACAUGAGGCUAGCAACCUCUUGAGUGGUCUUGGUCGGCCAAGGCAGGAGUCUGUUUGUACCCUCGUAACUCCCACUGUGCCAUGGCUCCCACGAUGCUGAAGAAGAAACUGAAAGCCUGAGGUCAUAUAGCUGAGACCUGGUCAGCCUUCCUCAGACCUGACUUUUCCAUCUUCCAGCACCAGCCUUGGCCUGACCUCUGCUCCCCCAGACCCUGCAUGGGAACUGCAACCCAGCAGAGUUGCUUCUGGUCUCUGUCCAACAUUAAAAUGGUCUAGGGAGGUGUGGAAUUGAGGUUAUUUUGUCUAAGAAGCUUCCUGUACCCUGACCAAUCCCAGUUUUUUUCCAAAUGGAUUAUGGGAGUAAAGAUUCUGUCUUUCAGUCCCACUUCCUCUGCUAACACAGUGCCAGCAGGAAGAGAGAAUGAAACACAAGGGCCCCUUCUCAUCUGGUGAACUUGAUGAUGUCUCAGAGCCCUUCCUGCUCUGACCUGCUGCCAUAUGACACCUGAUCUGAUGGCUCCCUCUUCUACAGGCCUGUAGUGUUAGGUUCAACUGAGAGAAAUGGACCUUUUAAAAAACAUAGUUGAAUAGUGGCAAAUUUCCUGUUUCAACAUGCUUUGCACCUCGUCCAGUAGAUGUCCUCCUGUUUACUGUCUUUGGUUUACAUCAGACAUUCUCAGGCCCGGCUGCACAUUAGAAUCACUCCUAGGAGCCUUUUGCAAAUUCCGGUGCUCAAGCUGCACACCCCCCAGGCCAAGUAAAUUAGAAUCUCAUGGGUGGGUCUCACACAUUUUUUUAAAAGACCCAGGUGAUUGUAUGUACCAUUAACCAGAGUUGAUGUAUGUAUAAAUGGGUUUAUGUAUAUGUACAAAUGUUCUAUUUAUGUAUAAAUGUUUUAUUUCUCAACAUCAUGGGUUUAUGUAUAAAUGUUCUAUUUCUCAGCAACAUCAUGAGUUUAUGUAUAAAUGUUCUAUUUCUCACCAAUAUCAUGGACUUCUUGAAGCUUAGUCUGAAGUCCUUUCUGGGUCUCUCAUGUUCAAAAUGUGCUAGGUCGCUGAUCUAGAGACAUUUUUAACCAUAUUUUAAUGCCUUAGAGAACUGCUCGAAAGGAAUAACAGGACUGGAUGGGCCUUUCUUACCACCAUCCUGUCUGGUUCCCACCUGGUGAAUUUGUACACAUUCUUCAAGGUCCACGUAGCUCAGGUACCAUGUCCUCCGUGAACAGCAAAACCUUGCCUGGGACUCUUUCAUUCCUGGCUCCAGGGACUGGGCCUCCAGCAGCAAACAGAGGGAAACAAGGAUCCUUCUCUCACGGGGACAGUGUACUAAUGACACGAUUUACUGAGCCCCCUUCUCUACACCAGGCACUGUGCCUUUUUGUCUUCUAACAAUCCUGCAAGGUACCAGGUACAUCUCCAAUCCAGACUUGAGGAAGUCAGGCUUAAAGAAAGUCAAGUUUCUUUGUUGUAUAGUAAGUUUGGGAUUGAGCUGGCAGACUGCAACCUAAGAUGUGUUUGGCUCUUGAACCCACAAGGCUUCCACCAUCACACACAGGUUUCCUGUUUGCUGAGCAUUGUGCUAAGCUCUUUAUAUGGAUAAUUGUAUUUCUCUUAUGCUGUCUUUAUAGAACAUUAUAUCACAUCAGGAGUAGCUGUGAACUUGUUUGAUUCCCCAGGUAGACAGGAGGGGAAGUGGAGCACAGAGGUUAAGAACACAGUUCUGAAACUGAGCUCUCUAGGUUCCAAUCCCAGCUCUGGCACUUACUGGCCAUAUGAACUUGGGUGAAAUAAGUGACCUUUCCAUUUCAGAUGCCCCCUCUGUAAAAUGGAGUUGAUAGUAAUAGUUUCUAUCUGGGGUAGUGGGAGGGUAUAAGUAAUAUAACUCAAGUGAUUAGAACAUCUGGCGCUAUUAUUUCACUGAAGUUUAUUUUUAUUUUUUGAGGAGUGAUCUAAGUCUUAUCACCUUUGUAUCCCUAGUGUUAGCACAUACUAGCAACCAAUAAUCUGUACUGCGAGGGCUGCAGAGAGAAGCCAAGGUACUGAAUAAUCUUCUCUCAAAAUCACCAACUGUUGGCAUUAAAAAAAAAAAAAAAUCAAAAAUCUCCACAGCCUCCCCUCCAACCCUUUAGUGCUUCUGUUAAUGCCCUUGGGAUUGGAAUUUGAGAUAUUCUGUCCUUAUUCCCCACCCCAUUUCCUGACUCUUAUCCCCUUGACUAGACUGGAGAUUUGUGUGUGCUCCCACAGUGGCAGGGAGGGAGGGCUGUUGGGUACUCCAGUAACUCCUUCCACACUGCUGUCUCUUCUCAGACCAGUCAAUCCUCUACCCCCUUCUUUCUACCUUUCUGAGGGCUUCCUACCCUUCCAGCCUUUACCUGGUUUCCCCACAAAGCCUUCCUGGGGGAAUGCUCCAGCCCACAGCACCCCCUCCUUCUUCUGAAUUUCUGUAGUAACAUGUUUUUUUGUAUAGUGCUCUCAUAUAUUCAUUACCCAUUUUCUCUUCACCGAGGUUGGAAGACAUGGUGUUUACUGUCCCCAUUUUAUCAAGGAUGGAAUUGAGUCUGGAAAAACGAAACAAGUUGCCUAGUCUGGACUUUAACCUAAACCUCUGACUCCAGAUCUCAGGACUUUCCACUGCUCCCUCAGUUCCUGCACCGUCCUGACGGUCACCUGGUUCUUCCUGUUGUCGUCCGCGAAGAUGGGAGUACAGCAGAUGAAGGAGCAGCCGCAGAGACAACAAGCUGCCGGCCUCCUCGGACCCCGGACUCUCAUCAGGACACGGUGGCCUGGCCGGAACCCUUCUCUCCGCGCCUGCCCUGCCGUCAGAAGUUAUGUCCGCUC